rnacentral:tRNA from 1 species
GGGCGAGUGGCGGAAUUGGUAGACGCGCUGGAUUUAGGUUCCAGUACUUCACGGUGUGAGGGUUCGAGUCCCUCCUUGCCCACCA